AGGGCACCACCAGGAGUGGAGCCUGCGGCUUAAUUUGACUCAACACGGGAAAACUUACCCGGCCCGGACACUGGAAGGAUUGACAGAUUGAGAGCUCUUUCUUGAUUCAGUGGGUGGUGGUGCAUGGCCGUUCUUAGUUGGUGGAGCGAUUUGUCUGGUUAAUUCCGAUAACGAACGAGACUCUAGCCUACUAAAUAGGCUCUCGGCUUUUAAACGCCGGGAGGACUUCUUAGAGGGACAGGUGGCGGUUCAGCCGCACGAAAGAGAGCAAUAACAGGUCUGUGAUGCCCUUUGUUGUCCGGGGCCGCACGCGCGCUACACUGAAGAGAUCAGCGUGCUUUACGUUCCUGCUCCGACCGGAGUGGGGAACCCAGUGAACCUUCUUCGUGAUUGGGAUAGAAGAUUGUAAUUAUUCUUCUUGAACGAGGAAUUCCCAGUAAAUGCGAGUCAUAAGCUCGCGUUGAUUACGUCCCUGCCCUUUGUACACACCGCCCGUCGCUACUACCGAUUGAAUGUUUU
rnacentral:rRNA from 1 species